rnacentral:lncRNA from 1 species
UCCUGUCGUGGCUCAGCAGAAAUGAAUCUACUAGUAUCCGUGAGGAUGCAGGUUCAGUCCCUGGUCUUGCUCAGUGGGUUAAGGAUCCAGCAUUGCUGUAGCUGUGGUGUUCAUCACAGAUGCGGCUUGAAUCCCAUUGCUGGGACUGUGGUGUAGGCCGACAGCUGUAGCUCUGAUUCAAUUGCUACCUGGGAACCUCCAUAGGUCACGGCGCAGCCCUAAAAAGAACAACAACAACAAUAAAAAAACAAAAGCCAUACAUUUUAUGUAGAUUGAUUUUUUCACUCAGCAUUUCAUGAACAUCUUUCCAUAAUAGGCAGAGUUUUUGCUCUUAAAAAUAAAUUGAUAUAAUUUCAUAUUUAUUCAAUCUCCUAUUAUUGAUUGUAGAUUGCAGAUUGUUCACAAACUUUUAAUAUUAUAAACUCAUUUCAAAGCAUGUUACAAUGAAGAUCUUUGUGAAUAUCUAUGAAUAAAUUUGAGUACUAGAAUUAUUACUAUAAAUUCACAUUUUUUUUAGGCUUUUAAUAUAAAUUUCCAAAAUGCCAUUCAAAGAGAUUGAACUAAAUUUAGGAUGAUCAUAUAACUGAUCAUCUAAUCUCGAUCCUCAUUUCAAUUUUCCAUUUUUUUUUUAAGAUCACAUCCCUGGCAUGAGGAAGUUCCCAGGCCAAGGACUGAACUUGAGCUGCAGCUAUGACCCAAGCCACAGAUAUGGCAAUGCUGGAUACUUCAACUCGCUGUGCUGGGCCAGGGAUGGAACCCACACCUCCACAGUGACCCAAGCUGCUGCAGUCAGAUUCUUUACCCUCUGUGCCAUGGCAGGAACUUCCAACAAUUUUUCAUUUUUAGUCUGCUUUGGUUAAUGUGACUUUGAGGUAAGCAAUGGGUUCAUAUCAAAUUCAGCUACAGCAGUCUCCCAAGCAUUAUCUGUGCCUUAGAUCAAGUUCAAUUAGAGACCCAGGGUAAUUCUUUCAGCAGAGUCUGUGACAGAGAGUCACAACAUGCCAGAUUGUGAUCUACUAACCAACAACUCCAAAAUCAGUGGCUUUAAAAAAGUAUAUCUCUCUCUCACUUCAUGCCUGUCACAGGUCAGCUGAGCUCUGCAGCUCUGAGACCCAGGGGGACAGAGCCUGAGCCAUCUGCAAGCUCCUAGCCCGGUUGCAAAGGGUGGGGGGGACAAUGGCUUCCACCCAGAAGUGGGACACAUCACCUCCACUCACAUUCUACCAGCCAAUGCAAGUCACAUGGCCACACCUCACCCCAAAGGGGCAGGUGUGUGCAACUUUGACCUUGCCUUGCCCAAGAAGGAUGAAAAUCAGAGAACUGCAUUCCUGAUGACCACACUUAGAUUGGAAAUGCCCAGGACUCUGCUCAAGGAUGCUCUCAGAGCCCCUUCUCAAUGCAGAGCACCCGAAUGAAGAUGAAGAAAGAAAAUGCAUGUGGUCAUGCUAUAUUCUCCUGCUCUAAUUAUUGUGCCAAGUUUUUCUUUGCUAUUUCUUAUGACAUUUCCCAGAGGAGUGACAGUGGUGGAAAUCUUGACCUUGCCCACAGAUUCACGGAGAAUGAAAUCUUCCCAGGGUGGGUUGGGAGGGGAAGUUUCACAGUAGUAUCCAUCUGCCAGCUCCAUAGAGCACAUGGAGAUGCCACAUGCCAUCCACACUAAUAGACUAGUAGGUCUUCACCCAGAGAGUCAUGCUGUUGAUCUUGACUGUAGUAUGUGAACCAGAGUCAGCACAGCAGGUGGAGAGAGCAGUGCUGUUGAAAUCAGGUUACCUGGGUUCAAAACCACCCCUUUUUAAAAUGUGACUGCGAACAACUAACUCAACUUCUUUGAGCCUUAGUUUUCCCAGCAGCAAAAUGACAAUAGUUCCAGUAAUUGCCCUUUGGAGCUAUUGUAAGAAUUCCCAAAAGAUAAUAUGUGACUUUUUAAAUUGCUAUUUUUGCUGGUGGUAGUGCCGUUAUUUGGCCCAGCUCCUGCAAGCCUGUAACUGGUGUUAAACCCUGCGCAUUGAUGGUCACACUCAUUUAGCUAUGCCCUUGGUGCUUAUGUGGGAGGGCAUAGCCAGUAAGUGCUGUGAGAAUAAAAUGGGAAAAAAAUAUGAAAAGCAGUGGUCCCUUACAUUUAAUUAUUAUGAAAUAAUUUUGUGCCUGGAACAAGGAGACAGUUAUCCUCCUUACCCGAAAAUAUCUCCCCUACCAAUCUGCCAUGAUGCCUAGUAUUUUAUCAUUAGAAACUCAUUCCUUUGGCUUAAUCAGUGCCUUGUGUAAGUGCCUUAUACACACUGAUUGAGUAAAUGAGGGACAGAGGGAAAGGGCUUAACAGGAGUAGCCAAGGCACUUCUAACAUGUAUUUUGAUGAAAACAGCUAGAAAUUUUCUCCUGCCCAGUAAUUCCCCAGUUGUCCUGCAAGAGUAACUCAAAUGCCACCUUGUGCAAUGACAUUAAAAUUCUGUGUAUCAGUGCAAUAGUUUCUAAGCCAACAUUCUUGUCUCCAAUCAGCUUCCUCUAAUCCAGCCUCUGUAUUACCACAGGUAAUCUUGCUACAAAGAGAGGUUAUCGUGUCAUGAACUAGUUCUAGUGUCAUUUGCUUUAAAAAUAGAGGUUGACUCCUUGGUGUGGCAUGAGACAGCCCCCACCAUCACACCUGAGGCCCCUUCAUUGGCUUUGUCUUUUACUUCUGCCUCCAGCUCCCUCAUCUCCAACAAUAUUCUAUCUCUCACACACACAAAUUGCCUAGGCAGAGAGCAUCACUUUUUUUUUUUUUUUUUGUCUUUUUGCCUUUUCUAGGGCCACACCUGAGGCAUAUGCAGGUUCCCAGAAAUAGCAAAAAAAAAAAAAAAAAAAAAAAAAGGGUAGGGGGUGGUUAGAAGAGAAAUUCAGGAAAAAAGAGAUGCUGACUGCACCCCCCAGUCCACAACUUCCCAACAAGAUUCCCAUAUGGAAACGAGCUCAAAGCUGGAGAAAUUUCACUUGGAAAAAAGUUCGGAGUUUUGAUUACUGCUCUGGAGUGAACACUGGAACUCUUAAGAUGAGACUGUUCUUGCGACUGAAGGUAAACAAAAGAUGUUUUUCCCUAAGUUACAGAACUUCACAGGGAUUUCAUCCAAGGUGCAGGAAAGUAUCCACACAGCAGGUCUGAUGGGACAGUGGUGGAAAAAAAUAAAUACAUAUAAAUACUUAUCUCCUGCUAGCAGCCUAUCUGUCUCUACUUAUUUUGUAUGCUUGAUAGAAGGGGCUAGAGCUGGAGAUACAAAUAUAAAUUCACAUCAAAUAAAAUCAGAAAAGAAGAAGUGUAAAUAAAAUAGAUGAAUCAAGAGACAGCAUACAUAAGCAUGGGUCCACGGGGUCAUACACUGGUGAAAAAUUGGACUACAAAUAUGGCUCUGAGUUUCCUGUCAGGCAAAGCAAGACAAUCAAUUAUGAAAUUGAAUCUGUCCAUGAAAAAUAAAGCAGAGUAGUUUUCCAGAUGAAACAAUACCUUUCUUAUACUCAGACUUUAAAUUUUUCAUAUGGCUCUUCAAACAAGGUCCGCUGAUUUAGUGGACAAUAUCCUCACCAGCCAGCUACAAUAAAUACUGCAGAGGGCUUCACCCAUCAGUCUCUCAUAUCAUCUAUCAAACGAUGUUAAGAGCAGGUUAGAAAAAAGCACGUUAGUGGGAAGUUAACACAACUGGAUAAAAAUAGGUAACUCCCUGAAUAGGUUUUCACUGUUUUGGUUGGAGCUGCCAUGAGCACAACUCUCAUCUGGUGAAUUUCACAAAGCAGGAGAUGGGAGCAGCAGGGCAGAUGGAAGGGUCCUGUGCAAGCAGCGGGGUCACCAUUUUUCAUCAUCCACCUUCCUCGAUGCUCCAGAAGGCAAGUCCAUCCAUCACUCGUAGCAAACACUGGCACAAAUAGCCUCACCAGCCUGGCUGAUUGAAACAAUCUCAGGCUUUCCAGGGUACUAAGAAAGCACUAGAUAUGAGAAGUCUAUUUUCUUUUUGAGGCCAAUGUUUAUGCCGUUUUUUCCUAGGCUUCAAUUCACAAAACACAAUUAGGAGCUCCUUCAUGUUAAUUCCAGCUGCAAAUGAACACUGAAGCUGAAUGGUAUCAGCAAACGGAAUGACAUUCCACCAAGAUUAAAUAUGUGUGUCCUCAAAGACUAUGUUUCAAAAGCAUAGAGUCAUUCUAACAAGGAGUUGAUUUGGAUGGACAAGUAUACUAUUAUUCAAAUAACUUUCCAACAUAACAGAGCUUAAAGAAAAAUGCCAUUUUCUACCUCAGCAGAGCAUGUAAUGGUGUGCCGCUGCACGUAAAGUUUAAUUUGCACAAAGGCUCUGUAUGUCUUCCUGCUGGCCUUCCUUUCUGAGACCCACGCUGGGUUAUCUGGACCUUCUUUCUCCUCUCUGUCUGCCGUGAAGUUUUAGGGAUGAAUGACAGGAUAGGAGAAAGUAGGUCGCCAGCUGGGCUGCUCCCAACCCUGCUUAAACUAAAAGAAAGAUCAAACCCAACGGUGGUCUUUCGGAGGAAAUUCCCAAACCCCACAAGCAUCACCAUAUCUAGGAACCAAGUAAGAGUGAGUCAGAGAGAGGGGCAGCAGGGGACAGGGGACACAUAAGGGCAUCCACACUGAGAGUAGCGUGUGCCAAGGCUGAGACAGCAGAGCCUGGAGGGCAGGGGACUUUCAGGGACUCCGUGAGGCUCCAUGUGAGUGGAGGGUCCCACAGUACCCAAGGGCCACGAAAGAGGGCAGGGGUGAGGGGCAGAGUUCCCACCUCCUAUGUGUUCUGCAAAAGAGUUUGGGUUUUCUUUCUCCUGAAGGUGACAGGACGCAGACCAGUGAAGGGCUUUGAGCAAAUGAGUAACACUGACCAUCAGAAAGCCUGGACGAGCAUGUCCCCCGACAGAAGCCCAGCAUGUAGAAUACCAGCUGAAUCUCACACUUUAGCACAUCCUCACCAUUGGUUUGGUCAGUAUGUUGACAUGUACCUCAGAUGCGUGAGAUCCACCCCAGGUAAACAGUCAGUGCCCAGAGGUGGGAGCCAGGGCUUCUUCCGAGUCCCCAGAGGUCUCCAGCCUCACAGCUCAUGCUCUCUUGGUGUGAAGAUCUCCGAGCCCCUCGCCCACACAGCCGUGGGUCACCUUCCAGCCUUGCUCCAGCAUUAGAGUGGUCUGUUUCCUUCUCCAGCUCCACCUGGAAGCUGGACUUUUCCCAGGGGGCCAAUGCCUUUGUUGGAAUUAGGAAAAGGCACCCCUCCUGCCAGGGCCCCUUCCUGGAGUGCACACAGCCAGGGCAUGUGCUUGGGCAACAUGAAACAGGCGCAGCCAUGGCUGGUAAGCCUAUUCCUCCAAGCCUGGCUAGCAUGCAUCGUCUCCCUGCCCUUGGUAACCAGCACGGUGUCACACCAAGACACAGCUACCUGCUAAUGUUUGAUGAAUGACUGUUCAAAAUCUUUCAAGCCAGUACACAUGGGAUGAUCUUUAAAAAAAAAAAAUCUUGUACCUUAUUAUAUGUGGGCUUAGAUGUGUGUGCUUAUUUUUAUAUACAUACAUUGAAAAAGGUCUGGGGCAAUACGGAGCUAAUGUUAUGAGAGAUUAUCUUGGGAAAGAGAGACUGGAAGGAAAGGAGUUUUAUUUGACCUCAUGAUUGUUUUUUAUAAGAAUUAUAUAUAACUUUUAUAAUGUAUUUUUUAAGGGAAAAAGUCAUAUCAGGCACCCAACUUCCACAGGAAACCUCCCUAGACUCCCAAAUCUGUGGUCCCGUCCUAUCUCUGACACCCCUUGAGCAGAGCAGAGACCCCCCCCUGCCCCAGCCAAGUCCAUGGCCAUGUGUGGUCUCAGCCACCCAUUUAUCUGUGCAUGAACAGAAGCAUGAAUGAGAUUUUCCUACUUAGUUCAGAAUUACAGCCCCAUGGCUGAGGGUCUUCAGUGUUGAGUGCCCCUACUUAUGAAGAAAGCCCCAUGGUGCUUGUUAAGAAACAAGCUAGAGGUCCUGUAAGCCUGAUUCCACCAUUGCCCACUUCCCACAUACACACUUAGAAGGUCAGAGGACAUCCAAUGGAGGAGGAAAUCCUUGGAGGAAGUGGCUAUUGGGAGGGUGUAGGUAUUCUGGUCCAGCAGAACCAGCCGAGGAGGGCUCUUGAGGUACCACUCGGAAAGAUGGAGGGUGCUGCCGAAAGGGAGCCUGUUCCCUUCUCCCACCAAACGCCUGCCUCAAGGCUGCCCCCAUGUAAAAUGUGGAGAGUCUGUUCUUGGGAGGCUUGGCCAUGGGUUGCCUGGACUUUUGGAGACAGGAAUCACAAUCUCCUGAGUGUCACAUAGAGAACUUUGAAGGUGGGCCGCACUAGUGCCAUGGGAGGAGGUGGGCUGGCACCAUCAG